UGGGCGUAAAGAGCUCGUAGGUGGUUGAUCACGUCGGAAGUGAAAACUUGGGGCUUAACCCUGGGCGUGCUUUCGAUACGGGUUGACUUGAGGAAGGUAGGGGAGAAUGGAAUUCCUGGUGGAGCGGUGGAAUGCGCAGAUAUCAGGAGGAACACCAGUGGCGAAGGCGGUUCUCUGGACCUUUCCUGACGCUGAGGAGCGAAAGCGUGGGGAGCAAACAGGCUUAGAUACCCUGGUAGUCCACGCUGUAAACGGUGGGUACUAGGUGUGGGGUCCAUUCCACGGAUUCCGUGCCGUAGCUAACGCAUUAAGUACCCCGCCUGGGGAGUACGGCCGCAAGGCUAAAACUCAAAGGAAUUGACGGGGCCCCGCACAAGCGGCGGAGCAUGCGGAUUAAUUCGAUGCAACGCGAAAAACCUUACCUACCCUUGACAUGUCCAGGAGCCUGAAGAGAUUUGGGUGUGCCCGAAAAAGGGAACU
rnacentral:rRNA from 1 species